ensembl:lncRNA
UUAAAGAAAACUGGAGCGGCAGUCACAUGGAGCUUAAAGCUUGAGAGAGCUGAGCAAACUGAAACCAAAAUGGCUGCUCCCUUGCUUAGUCUAGUAAUUUUCAAAAUUAGAGUCCCAAGAGUGAAACCUAAAACACUUAACACAAUGAACAUAACACUCCCCGCCUGACAUCUAUGAAGAUGUCAUCUAUACCAACUGUUUAAAGGAGUUUUCCUAUUUUCUUAGCAGGAGAAUUACUUCAGAUAUAGGCCUCAAGAAGGUUUUGCUGGACCCUUCUUUAGUCACUUUAAGUUCAACCUUUCGAACCUUUCCAUCUUGACCAGGGAAAACACUUGUGACGAGUGCCAUAGGCCAUUCAUUUCGGGCUACUUGAUUGUCCUUUAGUAGUACUAUGUCACCCUCCUCAAUGUUUGGGUAUGGGUCCUGCCAUUUGUGACAAACUUGCAGCGUUUGCAGAUAUUCCUGUUUCCAGCGAAACCAAAAUUGGUUGGCUAGGCUCUGUACUUGCCGCCAUUGGCGUUUGUAGAUAUCCUUUUCAGAGAAGUCUCCUGCUGGAGGUGAAGAAACUGCUUUUUGUGUUAAGAGCAUUGCAGGGGUAAGAAUCAAGGGUGAGUCUGCAUCCAAAGAAACAGGUACGAGAGGUCUACUGUUAAUAAUUGCUGUCACUUCCGCCAUAAGUGUACAAAGCACUUCAUCUGAGAGGUUAGAAUGUCCUUCCCGCAUCAGCAUUGAGUCAAGAAUUCUACGAGCCAGACCAAUCAUUCGCUCCCAUGCGCCCCCCAUAUGGGAGGAGUGUGGUGGGUUGAAAACCCAUGUGCAUCCCUCGUUAUUGAUGUAUCUUUGCACCUUUGUUUCUUUUAUAACUUUGUGGAAUUCAAGCUCGUUGCAAGCACCAACAAAGUUGGUUCCACAGUCUGAGUGCAGUUGUUUUGCAGGGCCACGGAUCGCGAAAAACCUGCGAAGUGCAUUGAUACAACUCGAAGAGUCCAUAGACAUAAUGACUUCAAUGUGAACUGCACGGGUGCUCAUGCAGGUGAAAAGCACCGCCCAGCGUUUACUGAGAGCUUGACCUCCUCUUGUUCGGCGAGCUACCACUGUCCAAGGCCCAAAGACAUCUAAGCCAGUGUAAGUAAAGGGUGGUGACACACUUAGUCGUUCUGGUGGCAAGUCUGACAUUUUCUGCAUUUCAAGUUUACCACGAAGUUUACGACAGGUUACACAUCCAUGAAGAAUACUGCUUAUGCAUCUCUUUCCUCCAAUAAGCCAUAAUCCAGCAGCACGAAUGGCCCCUUCUGUGAAUAUGCGGCCUUGGUGCUCCACACGUUCAUGGUAGUGCCUUAUGAGUAACGCAGAAACGUGAUGCUUACCGGGCAAGAUGACUGGGUUUUUCUCUGGGUAGUUUAAAUCUGCCAGUUUUAAUCUGCCUCCGACUCGGAGUAGACCGUCCUCAUCUAAGAAAGGAUUCAGUUUCGAGAGUGGAACUUUGCUGCUCAGGUGUCCUCCCUUAGAGAGUGUUUCGAUGUCCUUGUUGAAUGAUUCCUUUUGCACAGAGCUGAUUAUCACAUUCUUGGCUUUUAACAACCCACUUACAGUGUGUGCUUGUGAACAAAGGUGCCAACCACUGCAUGUGUUGGAUUCACUGGUGGAUCUAGAAGAGCAAGCUACAUGGAUGAGCGAUGCAAUGGCUCUUUGUAAGGGUUUCCAAGAGGAGAACCUCUGAAACCUGUCAGAGGAAUGCUGGACCUGUAAACCAGUUUGAUUUCACGAGCUGAGAUGCAUGGAUGGACCUGGAAGCAAUGUCAGCAGGAUUGUGCUCUGUGGGUAUGUAUCGCCAUUGCUUUGGUUCUGAAAAUUGUCUGAUUCUCUGCACCCUGUUGUGGACAUAGACGUAGAAACGUUUAGUUUCGUUAUAGAUAUAGCCAAGUACAAUUUUGCUAUCACUGUAGAAGGUAAUAGCAUCCGGUUUGAAGUCAAUCUCUUGAACAAUGAGUUCUGCUACCUCCACUGCUAAGACUGCAGCACAAAGCUCUAAUCGGGGUAUGGUAGGCUGGUUUUUUGGCGUCAGUUUUGCUUUUCCUAAGAUGAAGCCAAUGCUGAUCUGUCCAUCUCCAUCUACUGCCCUGAGAUAUGCUACAGCCCCUAUGGCCUUUGUUGACGCAUCAGAGAAAACACAGAUUUCUUUGUGAAUUGCCUUUGAAUGAGAGUUGGGUGUGUAAGGACAAAGAAUGUGAAGGUGUUGCAAGUCUUUCACUGAAUGCCCUUCAUGAUUCCCACUCACCAUGUUUCUCUUGUGGCAGUGAUUCAUCCCAGUCUGUUCCUUCAAUGGAUAGCUCUCGAAGUAGAAACCUCCCCUGUAUAGUGACAGGAGCCACAAGACCGAGAGGAUCAAAAAGACUAUUAAUUAUGGAAAGGACACCACGGCGUGUGAAUGGUUUGUCGUUGACUGAUACUUUAAAUGUAAAUGUAUCAGUCGCAGUCUCCCAAUUCAGACCAAGGCUGCGUUGUGUAGGCAUAGUUGUUCCACUGAGAUCGAGGUCUUUGAUGUCUUUCGCGUGAUCUUCAGUUGGGAAUGCUUUGAGUACUUGUAGACUGUUGGAUACAAUCUUGUGCAGCCGCAGGUUUGAUUCGGAGAGGGAUGCUUGUGUUCUCUUUAGUAGGUCUAUUGCUUCCUCUUCAGUUGGCAAGGAGAUUAGUGCAUCAUCCACAUAGAAUCCACGUUCCACAAAGUACCGGGUGUCUGGACCGUAUCGCAGAGCACCCUUCUCUGCUGCUCGUCUUAAACAGUAAAUCGCUACCGCCAGGGAAGGGCUGUUGCCAAACACAUGGACUUUCAUCUUGUAUUCAACAAUGUCCUUGUUAAGGUCGUUAUCACGGUACCAUAGGAAGCGUAGGUAAUCUCUGUGAUCUUCUCUCACAACAAAACAGUGAAACAUUUGUUGUAUGUCUGCCAUCACUGCUACACAUUCUUUCCUGAAGCGCAUCAGGACGCCAAUGAGGCUGUUAUUAAGGUCUGGUCCAGUGAGGAGCACAUUAUUGAGAGAGGUACCUUCAUGCUGUGCGCUGGAGUCAAAUACUACCCUGAUCUGAUCUGUUUUUUUGGGAUGAUAGACUCCGAAUAGUGGUAAGUACCAGCAUUCAUUUCCCUUUGGUAGUGGAGCUGCAAGUUCUGCAUGAUCACUGUUGAAUAGUUUUUGCAUGAAAGUUACAAACUGUUCUUUCAUAUCUGGCUUCCGUUCUAGGGUACGUCGUAAGGAAGAGAGGCGGCUCAAAGCUUGAUCUCUGUUGUUCGAAAGAACUGGGCAUGGAGACCUAAAAGGAAGAGGGGCCACCCAACUGUUGGAAUUAUCCUGGAAAACAUCUUUCUCCAUAAUCUUUAGAAAGACUUCAUCCUCGACGGAGAGUGCAGGCUUAUUGUCAUUCUCUGAUCUCUUAAAUAGAGUCUGG